UGGGGAAUCUUGCACAAUGGGCGACAGCCUGAUGCAGCAAUGCCGCGUGAGGGAAGACGGCCUUCGGGUUGUAAACCUCUUUCAGUUGGGAUGAAGGUUGGACGGUUAAUAGCCGCGCCAACUGACCGUACCUUCAGAAGAAGCUCCGGCUAACUACGUGCCAGCAGCCGCGGUAAUACGUAGGGAGCAAGCGUUGUCCGGAAUCAUUGGGCGUAAAGCGCGUGUAGGCGGUUUCGUAAGUCUGCUGUGAAAGUCGGAGGCUCAACCUUCGAAAGCCAGUGGAUACUGCGAGACUUGAGUACGGAAGAGGAGAGUGGAAUUCCUGGUGUAGCGGUGAAAUGCGCAGAUAUCAGGAGGAACACCAACGGCGAAGGCAGCUCUCUGGGACGUUACUGACGCUGAGACGCGAAAGCGUGGGGAGCAAACAGG
rnacentral:rRNA from 1 species